rnacentral:rRNA from 1 species
UGAAUACGAGACGCUAAGGCGUCGAAGUAGUGUAUAUCAGACUUCCAAGAAAAGCUUGCACUGUCAUAGAUAAAAAAUGCCUGUACCAUAACCGACACAGGUGGGUAGGUAGAGUAUACUAAGGGGCGCGAGAUAACUCUCUCUAAGGAACUCGGCAAAAUAACUCCGUAACUUCGGGAGAAGGAGUGCCUUAUUUAUAAGGUUGCAAUAACAAGAUCCAAGCAACUGUUUAUCAAAAACACAGGUCUCCGCUAAGUCGUAAGACGAUGUAUGGGGGCUGACGCCUGCCCAGUGCCAGAAGGUUAAAGAAGUUGGUUAGCAAUUGCGAAGCUGAUAACUGAAGCCCUGGUGAACGGCGGCCGUAACGAUAACGGUCCUAAGGUAGCGAAAUUCCUUGUCGGGUAAGUUCCGACCCGCACGAAAGGCAUAAUGAUUUGGAUACUGUCUCGGAGAGGGGCUCGGUGAAAUAGACUUGUCUGUGAAGAUGCGGACUACCUGCACCAGGACAGAAAGACCCUAUGAAGCUUUACUGUAACUUGAAAUUGAAAUUGGACUUUAUUCGCGCAGCAUAGGUGGGAGGCGUUGAUUAUAAUCUUGCGGGAUUAUUGGAGCCAUCAGUGAGAUACCACUCUUGUAAUGUUAGAUUUCUAACUUUGAAUCAUUAUCUGGUCAAAGAACAGUUUCAGGCGGGCAGUUUGACUGGGGCGGUCGCCUCCUAAAUGGUAACGGAGGCGUACAAAGGUUUCCUCUGAACGGUUAGAAAUCGUAUCUAGAGUGUAAAGGCAUAAGGAAGCUUGACUGUGAGACCUACAAGUCGAGCAGGGACGAAAGUCGGUCUUAGUGAUCUGACGGUACUGAGUGGAAAGGCCGUCACUCAACGGAUAAAAGUUACUCUAGGAUAACAGGCUGAUCUCCCCCAAGAGUUCACAUCGACGGGGAGGUUUGGCACCUUGAUGUCGGCUCAUCGCAUCCUGGGGCGGUAGUACGUCCCAAGGGUUGGGCUGUUCGCCCAUGAAAGCGGUACGCGAGCUGGGUUCAGAACGUCGUGAGACAGUUCGGUCCAUAUCCGGUGUAGGCGUUAGAAUAUUGAGAGGAGCCUUCUUUAGUACGAGAGGACCGAGAAGGACAUACCUCUGGUGUACCAGUUAUCGUGCCAACGGUAAACGCUGGGUAGCUAUGUAUGGAGUGGAUAACCGCUGAAAGCAUCUAAGUGGGAAGCCCACCUCAAGAUAAG